rnacentral:rRNA from 1 species
GGACGUGACUGCAGUCGAGAUUCCUACGGGAGGCAGCAGUGGGGAAUAUUGGACAAUGGGGGCAACCCUGAUCCAGCCAUGCCGCGUGAGUGAAGAAGGCCCUAGGGUUGUAAAGCUCUUUCAGAUGUGAGGAUGAUGACAGUAGCAUCAGAAGAAGCACCGGCUAACUUCGUGCCAGCAGCCGCGGUAAUACGAAGGGUGCUAGCGUUGUUCGGAAUUACUGGGCGUAAAGGGCGUGUAGGCGGAUGAUCAAGCUAGGGGUGAAAGCCCAGGGCCCAACCCUGGAACUGCCUUUAGAACUGAUUGUCUAGAAUCCGUAAGGGGAGUGUGGAAUUCCUAGUGUAGAGGUGAAAUUCGUAGAUAUUAGGAAGAACACCAGUGGCGAAGGCGGCACUCUGGUACGGUAUUGACGCUGAGGCGCGAAAGCGUGGGGAGCAAACAGGAUUAGAUACCCUGGUAGUCCACGCCGUAAACGAUGUCUGCUAGCCGUUUGGACACUUAGUGUCUGGGUGGCGCCGCUAACGCAUUAAGCAGACCGCCUGGGGAGUACGGUCGCAAGAUUAAAACUCAAAUGAAUUGACGG